rnacentral:piRNA from 1 species
UAGCAUGAGGGGUGGGAAUGGGGAGA